UACGUAGGGAGCGAGCGUUGUCCGGAAUUACUGGGUGUAAAGGGUGCGUAGGCGGGAGCGCAAGUCAGACGUGAAACCUACCGGCUUAACUGGUAGCCUGCGUUUGAAACUGCGAUUCUUGAGUGAAGUAGAGGUAAGCGGAAUUCCCGGUGUAGCGGUGAAAUGCGUAGAGAUCGGGAGGAACACCAGUGGCGAAGGCGGCUUACUGGGCUUUAACUGACGCUGAGGCACGAAAGCAUGGGUAGCAAACA
rnacentral:rRNA from 1 species